CCCGGCCGACAAGCGGUGGAGCAUGUGGUUUAAUUUCGAUGAUACGCGAGGAACCUUACCUGGGCUCAAAUGUAUGUUGACGUAUUCUGAAAGGGAUACUUCUUUCGGACAAUAUACAAGGUGCUGCAUGGUUGUCGUCAGCUCGUGCCGUGAGAUGUUGGGUUAAGUCCCGCAACGAGCGCAACCCUUGCCUUUAGUUGCCAGCAGUUCGGCUGGGCACUCUAAAGGGACUGCCGGUGUUAAACCGGAGGAAGGUGGGGAUGACGUCAAGUCCUCAUGGCCUUUAUGACCAGGGCUACACACGUACUACAAUGGCCGAUACAAAGGGCAGCGACACUGCGAGGUGAAGCCAAUCCCGUAAAAUCGGUCUCAGUCCGGAUUGGAGUCUGCAACUCGACUCCAUGAAGUUGGAAUCGCUAGUAAUCGUGGAUCAGCAUGCCACGGUGAAUACGUUCCCGGGCCUU
rnacentral:rRNA from 1 species